AUGAAAGUAGAAGAGGGCAUUAAUAUAAAUAAUAUUUUGAUUGCAUUAUCUAUUUCAAAUGGAGAUUUAAUGAUCAUUGAUUAUAAUUUGAAUAAAAUUAUAAAACAAUAUAAAGCUCAUGAUGCAUCUUGUCUAGCCUGCAGAUGGAAUAAUCAGCAAAAUAUUAUUGCAACAAGUGGAGAAGAUGCUAAAAUUAAAAUAUGGUCUCAUAAUUAUAUAUUAUUAACAAUGUUAAAGACACAUGAUAGUUUUUCUAUAUUCUAUUUAUAUUGGCUAUCUGACUUUCAUACAUUGAUAUAUAAUUGUAAAAAUAAUAUAUGCUUAUAUGAUAUAACCCAGGAGAAUAAAAAAU